CCUGAGCCUGGGAGAAGAGCACCCGGCGCUUCCGCCGCGGCGCGCUGGGCAGCGGGGCCAUAUUCUUGCUCACGUCCCCCAGCGAGCCCAGGCCGCCCAUGCCGCUCAUGUUCAUGCCGCUCGCCGGGCCCAUGAAGCGAGAGACUGUAAGCGACAAACGCACAGCGUCGGCUGGGACCGGGCGGGUUCAGGCCAACCCUACCUUCAGCGCCCUUGGCCCACCCGGUCCAACCCCGACGGCGCCCUCCUCACCCAGGCCUACUGCUCGGCUCCAGAGGUCUAGCCGCGCCGUCGAAGGAGCUCGCGGCUUCAACCCUGGCUACCCCCCCCCCUCGGAACUCUUUUUUGACUCAAAAAGCGUAGUGGGGGAAAGGCCGCUCCUGCUCCUUUUGUGCCCAAGCCCGGUGUGAAGCACAGUGUUAGCCCGCCACAGGCAGAGGACAGAGCUCAGAGCCGGAGUUGGGGUCCAACAGUAGACCCCAACUUUGGGAAGUAACAAGAGCAGAGUGUUCACUUCAGAAACUCAAGCCCCCAGACGUUUUGCCUCUGCUGUCGGUCCCAGUGAAGGCACCAGCUCAGCCCAUUUAGAGCCCCCUGCGGAACCGCGCGCCCUCUUCCCUGCCCAGACUCUGCUAGAAAGCGGGCCAGGCCGGGCGCCUAAAUGCGUCCCAGCAGGGCGGCCUAGCUCCUGGCCAGGCCUUGCCUCUCCAUGCUCUGCUCACCCUUGCUCCCUCAACUCGGGGGUGGCUUUGAUCGGUUCUCAGAGGUCUUAGGCGCGCAGCAGAGCUGCCAGUUAGCCGCGCCUGGAGAUGCUUAGUAGAAGCACCUGUUCACAGGACCAGCGCUACCAAGUGUCUCUUCUUGGAUCCCCAGCCCAACAGAAGGAAGAAUCCCCAACUCCUGCACCCAUCUCCCUGGCGCCGCUGCCAGGCUGCCCACCCUGAUGCCUAGCUCUCAGCCGGACCCCUCCACGCCUCCUGUGCUCAGCCCGCGGCCCCGCAGUGGGGCGGCCUCACUUACUGGCGGGGAAGCGCGGGUCUGGGUUGGCGCCGUACCAUCCGGGGCCGGAAGCGCUGUUUCGCAUGGUGUCCUGGUAGGGCGGCAGCUCGCUCAUGUUGCCCAGGUUGCCGUUGCAGUAGCCCCCCACAGCGGAGUGCGAGAGCUGGGGCACCCCCGCCGCCGUCAUGUGGUAGGCGGCGGUGACGGCGCCGUGGUGCCCCACGGCGUGCUGCUGCAUAGCCGCGGCCGGCGGUGCCGCCUGGCCCUGCCUGUACGCCGCUAGCGGAGCCCCGAGGCCGCCGCCCUCCAUGCCCACUUUCUUGUAGCUUUCCUCCAGGGGACUCAAGAUGUCAGACACUGAGAACGGAGUCGUGUGCUUUGGACUCAUCGACAUGAUUCGGCGGCGGCUGGAGGAGGAAGGAAGAGGAGGAAAAAAAAGGGAGAGGGGGAAGGCGAAGCUUCGCUACUUUUUUUUUUUCUCCCUUUGCCAAAUAUUCUGGUGUUACCUUAACGCCGAUCUUGUUGGAUGUACACGUAACGGAGUGGACCGAGUCCGCCUUAAUUGGCUUGAGUGGAGGCUCGGGGGCUGCCUCGCGUUUGUUUUAGCCCGGCGCCAGGUUUUAGGCAGCCACCAGAGGCGGGGCAUAAGCGCUAAAGCAACAAGACAAUAGAAGCCUACAUCUUGCCCGAGAUAAUUAGCUUACAUGCUGAUGACAAGGAACAGCACAAAAGUGAGGAGCACUGGAAGGACUUCACAUCUAUCCCAACAGUCUGCACAAACUUGCUCCAGUCUCUGAUAUGGAAAGUUUACUUUUAUUAGCUUGUGAUUAUGUUUUCCUGCUCCUCUACAUGACUAUUCAUUUGUGUUUUUCUACUUGCAUACAGUAGAAGGGGAUGUUUGACACUACUUGGUCAUGGCUGAAAAUGGUACCCUUAGGCAUGGAGUGAAAUACAUAUCUGGGCUAGGAGUUGGAGAAGCCAAAGGAGGAUCCUGGGGAAGAUGGGAGCUGCUGCAAACAAACCUACAGAUGAACAACCCAAAGCUGCAGUAACUGGGGAUCACUAUCUCCAAGAACAUAAGGGAUCCUUAAAAGGAAAGAGUCACCUCUGAAAUGACUUCCAGUUCAAUACUCCAGGCACUGUCAACCUUCUGAAAUGGUUAUUUUUCAGGGUCAUCAGUUGAGGAAUCAUGACUCACCAAAACUACCUCAACCUAUUUUUCUGAUGCCUGAAAUAUCUUUUAACAAGAGACAUUUCUGUUAUAUGAAUAGCAGUAGUGAAGACAAAAGAUAUGCAGUCAGAAACACUCUAUAUUGAAACAGUGCCAGACUAACUUAACGACCCUAGGCAAUUCACUUAAUCUUUUUACAGAUGGUGAAGCACAGUCUUUGUGGUGCACAGUUUUGUUCUCACAAAGCAUAACUGUGUAACCACCACUGGAAUCAAGACAGUACAGGUUUAUUAUCCCCCAAUUCCCUCAUGCUUAGUUAACCCUUCUUUUCCCUGCUUUCUAGUAACUACAGAUCUGUUUUCUGUCACUAUUGUUUGGCCUUUCCCAGAAUGUCGUAUAAACAAAAAUCAUAUAAUGUAUUCAUCAGAUUUUCAUAGCUGUGGCCCAAAUACCUGACAAGAACAAUUUAGGAUAACUUAGAAGAGGAAAAGUUUGAGCUCAUGGUGUCAGAAGUUUCAUUCUAAGACUGUCUAGUUCCAACACUGUAGAUCUAAGGUGAUAAGGGACAUCAUGGUGUAAAGGCAUAGCAGAGAGAAGCUGCUCUGCUCUUGGCAAAGUGGAAGUAGAGAGGAAAGGAGGAGCCAGUGGACAAGACAUAAUUUCCUUACUUCUGAAGGACUGAAAUUAAUUGUACUAGUUUUUAAUAAAUAUUAUGUCUAAUUCUUAAGGAAAAUUAAAUAAUUUGAAAAGUAUACCGAAGCCAAUCUAUGAACAUGAGUUAUUUUAAACUUAAAGUUUUGAGUUUCCUGUACAUGAGGGUUUACUGCAGUUAUUUCCUGCAAAAUCCAGUUCUGUGGCAGAUUCUAAUGGCCUCAUCACAUUUGAGAUUCAGUGGAGUUAAGUGUUACUAGGUUUUCUUUUGGUAGUCUGAGUGAAUGGCAAUCUUUUUUUCAAAUCAUAUCCUUAAGUUCAAAAGCUCAUUUCAUUCACUGAUCUUUUAAAAUUUUUUUGUAACAGUAUUUAAAUUUAACAAAUUGCUGCAUGUGAUUUAUUUUCAAUUUAAUUACAGAGCCAAAAUGCUACAUAUAAUUAUGGAUGUAAGUACCAGUCAAUUCUUUACCCUGAUGGCUUGAGAAAGGCUGUAAAGUGUACCAUAGUCUUUCUACAUAAUCUCCUAUGAGCCGUCUUUCCCUGCCAUUGAAUCAGUGCUGACAAAUAAAGUAUCAGAAUAGUAACUAAUAAGAGGUCAUGCUUUUGUGCCAAGCCCACCCCUUGCUUCUCUUUCAUAUUGAUGCUAAUGUGAUGCCAUUUAACACAGUUCAAGAAAAUUCAUAAAAUCAGUCUGCUUAGGAAGAACCUUUGAUCAAAGAUGGAUAAAUCACAGUGCCCCAGGAAUUGGUUUAAAAUAAGUAGCAGUGUGAUAUAUUUCUUUUUGUUAUGAGUUAAAGCUCUAAAAUGUAUUUUUAUAUUCUGGGGAGGGGGGAAACUCAGUUCUCUGAAACAAAAUGACAAGUAAAAAAGAAAACAAAACAAAAACCCUGCCCCACCCAUCGGAAACAUCAAUCUUAAUUCUAUAUUAUGCAACUUGUGGGUUCCAAAAUAAAGUUUCAGUUCAUACCUAUUUUCUGAGAGUUAGUCCACACAAGUGAAGUUCUUCCUUGAGUUAGAAGUCUUAUAUCUUUUUAAAAAAUUUUAAUUAAUUUUUAUUAUUGCAUAAUAAUUAUCAUAAUAGUAGGACUAGUUAUUACAUAUGCCUACAUGCACACAACAUAAUUUCAUUAAUUUUAUUACUGAGUACCUCUCCUUUCUCUCUCCUCUUCCCUUCUCCUACUUUCCUUCCUUUAUUCUACCCAUCUCCCUUCUAUUUUAUUAGGUCCCAUG